rnacentral:tRNA from 1 species
GCCUGGCUGGCUCAGUCGGUAGGGCACAUGACUCUUGAUCUCAGGGUUGUGAGUUCAAGCCCCACACUGGGCG